rnacentral:rRNA from 1 species
AUUGAACGCUGGCGGCAGGCCUAACACAUGCAAGUCGAACGAGGGGCGGACGGGUGUAUAAUGUCUGAGAAACUGCCCGACGGAGGGGUAUAACUACUGGAAACUGUAGCUAAUAGCGUAAACCAGCUGAUGUGCCCAGAGGGGUUUAGCUAGGGGGGGGGGUAUCGGCUCACCUAGGCGACGAGCCCUAGCUGGUCUGAGAUGGUGACCGGCCACACUGGGACGGAGACACGGUCCAGACUCCUACGGGAGGAAGCAGUAGGGAAUAUUGCACAAUGGGCGCAAGCCUGAUGCAGCCAUGCCGCGUGUGUGAAGAAGGCCUUCGGGUUGUAAAGUACUUUCAGCGAGGAGGCGUUACUCGCAGAGAAAGCACCGGCUAACUCCGUGCCAGCAGCCGCGGUAAUAC